rnacentral:rRNA from 1 species
GAUGAACGCUGGCGGCGUGCCUAAUACAUGCAAGUCGAGCGACCAGACGAGGAGCUUGCUCUCUUGACGUUAGCGGCGGACGGGUGAGUAACACGUGGAUAACCUACCUAUAAGACUGGGAUAACUUCGGGAAACCGGAGAUAAUACCGGAUAAUAUAUUGAACCGCAUGGAUCAAUAGUGAAAGACGGUUUUGCUGUCACUUAUAGAUGGAUCCGCGCCGCAUUAGCUAGUUGGUAAGGUAACGGCUUACCAAGGCAACGAUGCGUAGCUGACCUGAGAGGGUGAUCGGCCACACUGGAACUGAGACACGGUCCAGACUCCUACGGGAGGCAGCAGUAGGGAAUCUUCCGCAAUGGGCGAAAGCCUGACGGAGCAACGCCGCGUGAGUGAUGAAGGUCUUCGGAUCGUAAAGCUCUGUUAUUAGGGAAGAACAAAUGUGUAAGUAACUAUGCACGUCUUGACGGUACCUAAUCAGAAAGCCACGGCUAACUACGUG